rnacentral:rRNA from 1 species
AACGCUGGCGGCGUGCCUAAUACAUGCAAGUCGAGCGAAUGAGAUUAAGAGCUUGCUCUUAUGAAGUUAGCGGCGGACGGGUGAGUAACACGUGGGUAACCUGCCCAUAAGACUGGGAUAACUCCGGGAAACCGGGGCUAAUACCGGAUAACAUUUUGAACUGCAUGGUUCGAAAUUGAAAGGCGGCUUCGGCUGUCACUUAUGGAUGGACCCGCGUCGCAUUAGCUAGUUGGUGAGGUAACGGCUCACCAAGGCAACGAUGCGUAGCCGACCUGAGAGGGUGAUCGGCCACACUGGGACUGAGACACGGCCCAGACUCCUACGGGAGGCAGCAGUAGGGAAUCUUCCGCAAUGGACGAAAGUCUGACGGAGCAACGCCGCGUGAGUGAUGAAGGCUUUCGGGUCGUAAAACUCUGUUGUUAGGGAAGAACAAGUGCUAGUUGAAUAAGCUGGCACCUUGACGGUACCUACCAGAAAGCCACGGCUAACUAC